rnacentral:rRNA from 1 species
CGCAAGGCUGAAACUUAAAGGAAUUGGCGGGGGAGCACCACAAGGGGUGGACGUUGCGGCUUAAUUGGAGUCAACGCCGGAAAGAGCCGCGCGUGCGGUUACAAGGCUCCCGGAGACCUUACCGGGGGCGACAGCAGGAUGAAGGCCAGGUUGAAGGCCUUGCCGGACGAGCUGAGAGGAGGUGCAUGGCCGUCGCCAGUGCGUGCCGUGAGGUGUCCUGUUAAUUCAGGCAACGGACGAGACCCGCGCCCUCAGUUGCCAUCGGGCCGAAAGGCGCCGGGCACUCUGAGGGGACUGCCCCCGAAAGGGGGAGGAAGGAGCGGGCCACGGCAGGUCAGUAUGCCCCGAAUCCCCCGGGCCGCACGCGACGUUCAAUGGUGGGGACAAUGGGUUGCGACCCCGAAAGGGGGAGCCAAUCCCUAAACCCCACCUCAGUUGGGAUCGAGGGUUGCAACUCGCCCUCGUGAACGCGGAAUCCCUAGUAACCGCCCGUUACCAUCGGGCGGUGAAUACGUCCCCGCUCCUUGCACACACUGCCCGUCGCUGCAUCCGAGCUGGGUCUGAGCGAGGCCCAGUCUUGUUGGCUGGGUCGAGCUCAGACUUGGCGAGGAGGCAGAAGUCGUAACAAGGUGGCCGUACGGGAACGUGCGGCCGGAUCACCUCCUACCG